AGCGAACGCUGGCGGCAGGCUUAACACAUGCAAGUCGAGCGGCCCGCAAGGGGAGCGGCAGACUGGAGGGUAACACGUGGGAACAUACCUAUUGGUUCAGAACAACUGAGGGAAACUUCAGCUAAUACCGGAUAAGCGCUAACGCGGAAAGAUUUAUCGCCGAAAGAUUGGGGCGCGUCUGAUUAGCGGGUUGGGGGGGUAACGGCGCGCCAAGGCGACGAGCUGUAGCUGGUAUGGGAGGAGGAUCAGCCUGACUGGGACUGAGACACGGCCCAGACUCCUACGCGAGGCAGCAGUGGGGAGUAUUGGACACUGAGGGCAACCCUGAUCCAGCCAUGCCGCGUGAGUGAUGAAGGCCUUAGGGUUGUAAAGCUCUUUUGCCCGGGAAGAUAAUGACGGUACCGGGAGAAUAAGCCCCGGCUAACUUCGUG
rnacentral:rRNA from 1 species